CCUACGGGAGGCAGCAGUGAGGAAUAUUGGUCAAUGGGCGCGAGCCUGAACCAGCCAAGUAGCGUGAAGGAUGACUGCCCUAUGGGUUGUAAACUUCUUUUAUAUGGGAAUAAAGUGAAGUACGUAUACCGCUUUGCAUGUACCUUAUGAAUAAGGAUCGGCUAACUCCGUGCCAGCAGCCGCGGUAAUACGGAGGAUCCGAGCGUUAUCCGGAUUUAUUGGGUUUAAAGGGAGCGUAGGUGGGUUGUUAAGUCAGUUGUGAAAGUUUGCGGCUCAACCGUAAAAUUGCAGUUGAUACUGGCAGCCUUGAGUACAGUAGAGGUAGGCGGAAUUCGUGGUGUAGCGGUGAAAUGCUUAGAUAUCACGAAGAACCCCGAUUGCGAAGGCAGCCUACUAGACUGUCACUGACGCUGAUGCUCGAAAGUGUGGGUAUCAAACAGGAUUAGAUACCCUGGUAGUC
rnacentral:rRNA from 1 species